GACGAACGCUGGCGGCGUGCCUAAUACAUGCAAGUCGAACGCUUCUUUCCUCCCGAGUGCUUGCACUCAAUUGGAAAGAGGAGUGGCGGACGGGUGAGUAACACGUGGGUAACCUACCCAUCAGAGGGGGAUAACACUUGGAAACAGGUGCUAAUACCGCAUAACAGUUUAUGCCGCAUGGCAUAAGAGUGAAAGGCGCUUUCGGGUGUCGCUGAUGGAUGGACCCGCGGUGCAUUAGCUAGUUGGUGAGGUAACGGCUCACCAAGGCCACGAUGCAUAGCCGACCGGAGAGGGGGAUCGGCCACCCUGGAACUGGGCCACGCCCAAGACUCCUACGGGAGGGAGCAGUAGGGAAUCUUCGGCAAUGGAGGAAAGUCUGACACAGCAACGCCGCGUGAGUGACGAAGGCUUUGGGAUCGGAAAGCUCUGUUUUGGGAGAAAAACAGGGACCUUAGUAACUGAAGGUCCCGUGACGGUAACUAACCAAAAAGCAACGGCUAACUACGUG
rnacentral:rRNA from 1 species